AACCGUUGGGUUGGCUGUUGGUGCCUGCCCAGUGUGAGACAGCCGCUGGGAGACGGCUCUGACAGCUGAGCACCCAGUCUCAAGGAGCAAGCAGCUACCAGGUCUUAUCCCACUCCAGUGUGGCUUGCUGUUGCUACUACGUUAGUGAACUAAGUACCUGGUAGCCCUUUGGAGGUCACCACCAAGCCUCAAUAUCUGCAAAUGGCAGUUGGUGAGCCAGGCCAGGAGAUAAGCUGGGGGACAUGGGACAAAGAAAUGAGACCUGAUCCCUAAAUGCACUGUCACAACUAAUGGAGAGGAGCAUGUGGCACAGAGACUUGGAUUCAUCAUGGUCUCCUUGGCGGGCUCUGCGUUAGUGGUGAAUGAGGUCACUCGGGGAAGAUUGGAAGGGACACCAGUGAAGCAUGCACCUGUGACAUACAAAAAUCUGCAGAAAGGAUGGGAGAGGACAGCAGGACUAAAGCAGGCAGGGAAGGUUUGCUAGAAAUGUCAAAGGAAAGCCUCCCCAGGAUGCUGUCCUCGGCCCGUUGGAGACCUCUCCUCUAAGAGGGGCAGUAUCCAAAGACGAACAAGUCGUUCGGCAAUUGUGUUAUGGACCAGAUUUUAGUGGCAAGAUAUGUUAUUGUGCUGGAGUAGAGGGUCAGAGCUCGCUUGCAAGAUCUGAUUGUUGACAGUUUAGGAAUUUCAUGAGCUAGUAUUUAAAAUGUUGUAAAAACCAGAUUUUGUAAGCUUACAAUUAAAUAAGUUUUGUUUAAAAGUGAAGAUAAUAAAUAUUCAAAGCUCUUCAUUUUCUUAACCAUUUUAUUACUGUCUGUAUCUGUGACCUGAAUGUCACUGAGCUGUGCAUUUUUAUGCAUCUCUUCUCUAUUCAAUCUCGUCAUGUUGGUAGCUUGAGCUCAACUGCAGUGGAGUAUUUACAUCAGGGCAAUUGGCAACGGGAACAACCCAGGGGAUUUCUCCCCAGAGGGUUGGGGUUAGGCCUUUAUUAGCAGUCCACCAUCUAAAGAGAUGGAAUGUCCACUGUAUGUGUGUUAAGAUCGGGGGCGACGGAGGAAGGAGCCGCUGGGGAUAACGGUGGGGUUUCUGGAAGCAGAGAGAACCAUGAUAAAGUGGAACCUUGAGGAGGUGAUGGUCUGGGUUCCACAGCCCAAGCAGAGGAAAACCUGUUGGACACAGACGGAAGAGCUGUGUUUGCAUCUCUGAGAUGACGGGGGGCCUUGUGGCUGUGUGUUCACGCUCACUGGUCCUGCAUUUGGUGCUCCUUAUUUAUCAAAAACUACACUCUCUCCUGACAAUCUGCUCUUAAGUGAGUGACAGUCGCAGGACAAUGGGCCAGACCACCAGUCUGUUCCACUCUACUGACUCCCAUAGCAAGUGGCUGGGUAGAUGCUUACACUGUGAGACAGUCAUGAGCUGGGGGGGUCAGUGGUCUCAGUGGACGAUGGUGACAGAAGAUCUGGAAAUGCAAUUCAAAUGCUAUCAAGUUAGGUCAGACUCAGAUGGCCUCCUCCUCCCUCCCAACUGCCUUUCCCUGCUCAGGUGUG